GCAUAUCAAUAAACGGAGGAAAAGAAACUAACAAGGAUUCCCCUAGUAACGGCGAGUGAAGAGGGAAGAGCCCAAGAUUGAAAGCUGGCGUCUUCGGCGUCCGCAUUGUAAUCUCAAGAAGUGUUUUCCGCUUCGGACCAUGCCUAAGUCCCUUGGAAAAGGGCAUCAUAGAGGGUGACAAUCCCGUACAUGGCAUGGAGCGCCCGAGGCUUUGUGAUACACUUUCUAAGAGUCGAGUUGUUUGGGAAUGCAGCUCAAAAUGGGUGGUAAAUGCCAUCUAAGGCUAAAUAUUGGGGAGAGACCGAUAGCGAACAAGUACAGUGAUGGAAAGAUGAAAAGAACUUUGAAAAGAGAGUUAAACAGUACGUGAAAUUGCCAAAAGGGAAGGGUAGGAGGUCAGAGAUGCGUCUUGGGAUUCAGCCUUGCUUUUUUGCUCGGUGUUUUUCCCAAGUUGCAGGCCAACGUCGGUUUUGGGCACUGGAGAAGGGUCGAAGGAACGUGGCACCUCUCGGGGUGUGUUAUAGCCUUCUACUGGAUACAGCGACCGAGACCGAGGACAGCAGCGUACUCGCAAGAGCGGGCCUUCGGGCACCUUUACGCUUAGGGCGUUGGCAUAAUGGCCCUCUACCACCCGUCUUGAAACACGGACCA
rnacentral:rRNA from 1 species